UGUUGUUGCCAUGGUAAUCCUGCUCAGUAGGAGAGGAACCGCAGGUUCAGACAUUUGGUGUAUGUGCUUGGCUGAGGAGCCAAUGGGGCGAAGCUACCAUCUGUGGGAUUAUGACUGAAUCCCGCCCAGGCGGAACGAUACAGCAGCGCCGCGAAGCCUCGGUUGGCCUCGGAUGGCCUCGGAUAGCCGGUGUCCCGCCGUCCCUGCCGGCAGGCCGCUGCGCGCGCCCCGAGUGGCGUGGCGUGCCCCCCCAGGCGUCGGGACCAGGGUCUGGUGCGGAGAGGCCCUCCUCCGGGGAAACGGGGCGCAGCCGUAAAGGGGGCCGCCCCCUAGCCCGUCAGGCAACGCACGUUUGUGGGGAACCUGGUGCUAAACCAUUCCUGGACCACCUGCUUCUGGGUCGGGGUUUCGUAGGUAGCAGAGCAGCUCCCUCGCUGCGAUCUAUUGAAAGUCAGCCCUUGACACAAGGGUUU
rnacentral:ncRNA from 1 species